rnacentral:rRNA from 1 species
GGGUUCGAUUCCGGAGAGGGAGCCUGAGAAACGGCUACCACAUCCAAGGAAGGCAGCAGGCGCGCAAAUUACCCAAUCCCGACACGGGGAGGUAGUGACAAUAAAUAACAACACAGGGCUCUUUUGGGUCUUGUUAUUGGAAUGAGUACGAUUUAAAUCUCCUAACGAGGAACAAUUGGAGGGCAAGUCUGGUGCCAGCAGCCGCGGUAAUUCCAGCUCCAAUAGCGUAUAUUAAAGUUGUUGCAGUUAAAAAGCUCGUAGUUGAAUUUCAGGCCUGGCUGGACGGUCCGCCCUUCGGGUGAGUACUGUCUGUGGUCGGGUCCUACCUUCUGGCGAAGCGUCAUGGCCUUAACCGGCCGUGGCGGGGAACCAGGACUUUUACUGUGAAAAAAUUAGAGUGUUCAAAGCAGGCAAUCGCUUGGAUACAUUAGCAUGGAAUAAUGGAAUAGGACAAUGGUUCUAUUUGUUGGUUUCUAGGACCGUUGUAAUGAUUAAUAGGGAUAGUUGGGGGCAUUAGUAUUCAAUUGUCAGAGGUGAAAUUCUUGGAUUUAUUG